rnacentral:pre_miRNA from 1 species
UGCGCCACGAUAGGCGAGAUCAGAUUAUUUGAGUUUCUGAUCUCCCGUUCGUGUCGAUGC